rnacentral:rRNA from 1 species
UACAGAGGGUGCAAGCGUUAAUCGGAUUUACUGGGCGUAAAGGGCGCGUAGGCGGCCUUCUAAGUCGGACGUGAAAUCCCUCGGCUUAACCGAGGAACUGCGUCCGAUACUGAAAGGCUUGAAUCCGGGAGAGGGAUGUGGAAUUCCAGGUGUAGCGGUGAAAUGCGUAGAUAUCUGGAGGAACACCGGUGGCGAAGGCGGCAUCCUGGACCGGUAUUGACGCUGAGGCGCGAAAGCUAGGGGAGCAAACGGG